rnacentral:rRNA from 1 species
UACGUAGGGUGCAAGCGUUAAUCGGAAUUGCUGGGCGUAAAGCGUGCGCAGGCGGUGAUGUAAGACAGGUGUGAAAUCCCCGGGCUUAACCUGGGAACUGCAUUUGUGACUGCAUCGCUGGAGUGCGGCAGAGGGGGAUGGAAUUCCGCGUGUAGCAGUGAAAUGCGUAGAUAUGCGGAGGAACACCGAUGGCGAAGGCAAUCCCCUGGGCCUGCACUGACGCUCAUGCACGAAAGCGUGGGGAGCAAACAGG